GCCCCGAUAGUUCAGAGGCCAAGAACGCCGCCCUCUCAACGUUAUAGAUAAUAAGAGAGGUGAUCGAAUCUUGAUGAAAGAGGAAGUCUAUGCAUCUUAAUGCAAACUUCUCUUGGAGAUAGGCGGUAACCCGAGUUCGAAUCUCGGCCGGGGCG
rnacentral:tRNA from 1 species